rfam:Halolamina sp. CBA1230 CBA1230_contig03, whole genome shotgun sequence.
GAGUGGACUAGGUCGGGCGGUUAGGCCCCGCUCGUCACCCCCGAGAUAGUCUUCAGGGGGGACCGAACCCCGGGCGCGUCCGGUCAGACCGGCGCGGGCCUCGGGAGCCGACGUGGAAGCCUCGUCCGCCGGGGACAGCGGUCCGCGACGCCCGCCCGCAGGGGCGAUCCGUCGCGGUUGGUCGACGGCACCGGGUCAGGCGCGGAAGCGAGCAGCCCACCGUCGGACGCCCGUCGCUCGUCGGGUCGCGGGGUGGAGGAGGCAACCGAGACUCCCCGUGUCGGAACGCCGGGCAACCCCGGGCGUCCGCCA